AAAGUUCCUUCGGGAAUGAGUAGAGCGGCGAACGGGUGAGUAACGCGUGAGGAUCUCCCCUUCAGUGAAGGAUACCCUCGAGAAAUUAAGGUUAAUACUGCAUACGUCCACCAUUAACAUGGUGGAGAAAGAUGGCCUCUUGCUGUCGCUGAAAGAUGAACUUGCGUUCUACUAGCUAGUUGGUGGGGUAAAGGCUCACCAAGGCGAUGAUGGAUAGCCGGCCUGAGAGGGUGAACGGCCACAUUGGAACUGAGAUACGGUCCAGACUCC
rnacentral:rRNA from 1 species